rnacentral:other from 1 species
ACGGUUAUCAAUCAACAUAUUGAUUUAUAAGCAUGGAAAUCCCCUGAGUGAAACAACGAAUUGCUGUGUGUAGUCUUUGCCCAUCUCCCACGAUGGGCUUUUUUUUAA